rnacentral:rRNA from 1 species
CUCCAAGCUACGAAGAGCCAACGGUGGAUGCCUUGGCGCCUGAAGCCGAAGAAGGACGUGGAUGGCUGCGAUAAGCCACGGGGAGCUGCCUAUCAAGCUUCGAUCCGUGGAUGUCCGAAUGGGGAAACCCGGCACCCGUCAUGGGGUGUCACUCCGGUCUGAAUGCAUAGGACCGGCAGAGGGAACCGGGGGAAUUGAAACAUCUGAGUACCCCGAGGAGAGGAAAGCAACAGCGACUCCCUGAGUAGCGGCGAGCGAAACGGGAAGAGCCUAAACCGAUGCAGUGUCAAGCCUGGUGGCGUUGCUGUAUCGGGGUCGUGGGAAGUGGAAGAAGGGGCACCAGACCCUUCACGGAGUUACAAAGCUGCUGCUUAGUGGAAGCGUACAGGAAAGACGCGCCGUAGAGGGUAAUGGCCCCGUACACGAAAAGCAUGCAGCCUCCGUCCAUUCAUCCCGAGUAGCGCCGGAUCUGGGAAAGCCGGCGUGAAUCUACGAGGACCACCUCGAAAGGCUAAGUACUCACAGGCGACCGAUAGCGAACUAGUACCGUGAGGGAAAGGUGAAAAGCACCCCGGGAGGGGAGUGAAAUAGUACCUGAAACCGUUGGCUUACAAACAGUCAGAGCGUCGUCGACUCUUACGAGAGCCGGCCGUGAUGGCGUGCCUUUUGAAGAAUGAGCCAGCGAGUUACCGUGUGUGGCAAGGUUAACCCGAAUGGGGGAGCCGGAGCGAAAGCGAGUCUGAACAGGGCGUUCAGUCGCAUGCGGUAGACCCGAAGCCGAGUGAUCUAGCCAUGGGCAGGCUGAAGCGGGGGUAAGACCCCGUGGAGGGCCGAACCCACUCUGGUUGAAAACAGAGGGGAUGACCUGUGGCUAGGGGUGAAAGGCCAAACAAACUCGGUGAUAGCUGGUUCUCCCCGAAAUGCAUUUAGGUGCAGCGUCAGAUGUUCAGCAUCGGAGGUAGAGCACUGAAUGGGCUAGGGGGCCUACAAGCUUACUGACCCCAAUCAAACUCCGAAUGCCGAUGCUCCAGAGUCUGGCAGUGAGACCACGAGGGAUGAGCUUCGUUGGUCGAAAGGGAAACAGCCCAGACCGCCAGCUAAGGCCCCAAAUUCUAGGCUAAGUGGAAAACGAUGUGGGAACGCAGAGACAGCCAGGAGGUUGGCUUAGAAGCAGCCACCCUUGAAAGAGUGCGUAAUAGCUCACUGGUCGAGUGGUCCUGCGCGGACAAUGUAACGGGGCUCAAGCCUAGAGCCGAAGCUGCGGACUCCCGCUUUGCGGGAGUGGUAGGGGAGCGUCGAUCCUGCUGUGAAGCGCCGGUGGGAACCGUCGUGGAGCGCGAUCGAGUGAGAAUGCUGGCAUGAGUAGCGAGAGAGGGGUGAGAAACCCCUCCGCCGUAAGCCCAAGGGUUCCUGGGGAAGGCUAAUCCACCCAGGGUCAGUCGGGAGCUAAGGCGAGGCCGAGAGGCGUAGUCGAUGCACAACUGGUUGAUAUUCCAGUACCACCGUGUCCGCGCCCAUCCCAAUCCAAGGGGAACUGCGGGGCUGACCUUCGGGUCGAGCCGCUGGAACCUGGUGCGGGAAGCAAAGGGAGGACGCAGAAGGAUAGGUGAGCCCAGGCGUUGGUUGUCCUGGGGGAAGCGCGUAGGGGGAGUCCCAGGCAAAUCCGGGACUCGUACACCCUGAGACGUGAUCCCGAGCCGUUCUAGGCGAAGUCAUUGAGUCCAUGCUGCCAAGAAAAGUCCCUAGCGAGCUGGCACGGUGCCCGUACCCCAAACCGACACAGGUGGGCGGGUAGAGCAUACCAAGGCGAUCGGGAGAACUGUGGUUAAGGAACUCGGCAAAAUUCCUCCGUAACUUCGGGAGAAGGAGGGCCUCGGCAGGGUGACGGACCUAGCGUCCCGAGCUCGAGGAGGCCGCAGCGAAUUGGGGGAAGCGACUGUUUACUAAAAACACAGCAGCGUGCGAAGUCGUAAGACGAUGUAUACGCUGUGACGCCUGCCCGGUGCCGGAAGGUUACGGGGAAGGGUUAGUCCUUCGGGACGAAGCUCUGAACCUAAGCCCCGGUAAACGGCGGCCGUAACUAUAACGGUCCUAAGGUAGACCCUCCGGAAUCGUGCCCGGAGGCUGCCCCUCCUGUGAGCAAUCACAGGAGUGCAGCUGGCUAUUUGCUGGAAACCCCGUGUAUCCGGCGGUACUCGGCCAUCGUUACAGCCCCUUCGUAGGAUGUGGCGAUUGCCAGUGACAAUCCGACCGGUGCGGACAAUCAGCAGGAAAGGCCAGUGCACGCGCAGUGGGUCGUCGGCCUCGUCGACGGCGAAGGAUGCUUCAGCGUGCCGAUCUCCCGCAAUCCAACCUGUAGGUCGGGUUGGCAGUGCAACCGACUUUCACGGUUGUCCGGGGAGCUCGGAGCGUGCAGGGUCUGCACGAGCUGGAGCGCUUCUUCGAGUGUGGUCAAGUCGGCCGUAACGGCCGGCACGACAAGCAUCGCGACACCCUGCGGCGCUUCUGCGUCCGCAGGCUGGUCGAUCUGUCGGAGGCCAAUAUUCCGUUCUUCGAAGAACAUCCACUGAAAACAGCCAAGGCUGACGAUUUCGUUCGCUUUGCGAAAGUGGUUCGACCGAUGUCGGCCGGGUGCCGUCUGAUGACGCCCGGCCUCCCGAGGUCGCCCUUCUCGCAUCGCAGAUGAACCAGUGAAGGACACCGCGUGUGCUGGAAUCCUCAGAGGCCAUACGCCAGCCACCUCCCUGACACAGAGGUGAAGAGAUGGUCCUAGCCGCAUAGCGAUAUGCGGGACAACUAGAGCGAAAUUCCUUGUCGGGUAAGUUCCGACCUGCACGAAUGGCGUAACGACUUCCCUACUGUCUCAACCACAGACCCGGCGAAAUUGAAGUACGAGUAAAGAUGCUCGUUAGCUGCACCAGGACGGAAAGACCCCGUGGACCUUUACUGCAGCUUGAUGUUGAGCUUUGGUACGGAUUGUGUAGGAUAGGUGGGAGCCUUGGAAGCUCCGGCGUCAGCCGGGGUGGAGGCAACGUUGAAAUACCACCCUGUUCGUGCUGGGGCUCUAACCUCGACCCAUGAGCUGGGUCAGGGACAGCGUCAGGUGGGCAGUUUGACUGGGGCGGUCGCCUCCUAAAGCGUAACGGAGGCGCGCAAAGGUUCCCUCAGGCUGGUUGGCAAUCAGCCGUCGAGUGCAAUGGCAAAAGGGAGCUUGACUGCGAGACCUACAAGUCGAGCAGGUGCGAAAGCAGGCCAUAGUGAUCCAGCGAUUGCAUGUGGAAGCGUCGUUGCUCAACGGAUAAAAGGUACCCCGGGGAUAACAGGCUCAUCUUCCCCAAGAGUCCAUAUCGACGGGAAGGUUUGGCACCUCGAUGUCGGCUCGUCGCAUCCUGGGGCUGAAGCCGGUCCCAAGGGUUGGGCUGUUCGCCCAUUAAAGCGGUACGCGAGCUGGGUUUAGAACGUCGUGAGACAGUGGAUACAACCGCGCUGUCUGUAAACUUGGCUGUAUGCUGGAAACACCGAGAAUCUUGCGCUACUAGCCAGUUCCUCAGCUGGAACGGCAGUGACAACGCGACAAGUGCGGUCAAUCAGCAGGAAAGACUGGAUUAGUUCAUCCAGAAUCCUCAGAGACCAUAUGCCAGGCACCCCUCCUGACCCGGGAGCGUGGUGAAGAGAUGGUCCGAUCUGCACGGCGACGUGCAGAGCCAGGCAGAAAUGACCUGGCCCCCGGCGACGACGCCGGUGGUAACAGAAUGUCGGUCCCUAUCCGGUGCAGCCGUAGGAGAUCUGAGGAAGGCUGUCCCUAGUACGAGAGGACCGGGACGGACGUAGCUCUCGUGUGCCAGUUGUCCUGCCAAGGGCAUGGCUGGUUUGCGACCUACGGAAGGGAUAAGCGCUGAAAGCAUCUAAGCGCGAAGCUCGUUCCAAGAUGAGAUCUCCCACAGGGAUAACCUGGUAAGGCCCGUGGUCAGACCACCACGUAGAUAGGCCGGAGGUGUAAGCACGGCAACGUGUUCAGCCGACCGGUACUAAUCGGCCGAGGGCUUGGGGCU